UCUGCCGCCGGUCGAGAUGAUUUGAGAUUUUUCAGCGCCCGGCGAGGACUAGCAUUGGCUCGGACCCUUAUCCCGGUGAACGCAUGCCCAUCGAACCUUCUCGUCUGGAAAUUCUGUCCGCGCUGACCCGCAAGGUGCUGUGGCUGUCGUCGUGGACCAUCCACCAUGCCAAUCACAUCCGGCCGGAUUCCGACGGGCUGAAAGUUGGCGGCCAUCAGGCCUCAUCGGCGUCGCUGGCGACGAUCAUGUCGGCGCUCUAUUUCGGUGUGCUCAAGCCGGAGGAUCGCGUCGCGGUGAAGCCGCACGCUAGCCCGGUGUUUCACGC
rnacentral:misc_RNA from 1 species